UCACUAGACACAAUGAAAUAAAUAUGUCUCUGGUUAUUUGUACUGUUACUUAAGUACUGAGAUCCAGCACUUCCUUCAUCACUCGGAAUCACCAACACAGUGUU